GCCACACAUCAGUGAUAAGAGCAUCUGCUUUGCAUGCAGGAGACCCAGGUUCAAUCCCUGGUAUCUCCA